AUUGAACGCUGGCGGCAUGCUUUACACAUGCAAGUCGAACGGUAACAGGUCAAGCUGACGAGUGGCGAACGGGUGAGUAAUGCAUCGGAACGUGCCCGGUCGUGGGGGAUAACGUAGCGAAAGUUACGCUAAUACCGCAUACGAUCUGAGGAUGAAAGCGGGGGACCGUAAGGCCUCGCGCGAUCGGAGCGGCCGAUGUCAGAUUAGGUAGUUGGUGGGGUAAAGGCCUACCAAGCCGACGAUCUGUAGCUGGGCUGAGAGGACGACCAGCCACACUGGGACUGAGACACGGCCCAGACUCCUACGGGAGGCAGCAGUGGGGAAUUUUGGACAAUGGGCGCAAGCCUGAUCCAGCAAUGCCGCGUGCAGGAAGAAGGCCUUCGGGUUGUAAACUGCUUUUGUACGGAGCGAAAUGGCCCCCUCUAAUACGGGGGGUUGAUGACGGUACCGUAAGAAUAAGCACCGGCUAACUACGCGCCAGCCGCCGCAGUAAUAC
rnacentral:rRNA from 1 species